rnacentral:rRNA from 1 species
AUCGUCAGCUCAUUUUGUAUAUGUAUGANGUUAUGAUGCGAGUUACUCUNUGUAGUAUUGCUUGCACGUACUUAUGCAUUUAUUUGCAAGGUGUUGUCGGCGUGCACUUCUCCCCUAGUAGGACGUCGCGACCCGUUGGGUGUNGGUCUACGACCCGAGUGGGAGACUUUAAUGUUUUNAUNAUAUUAAAGACCCUUGGUGUUUUCUGACCGGCUGCCCGGCGGUACUCGUACGGUAUUUAGCCGCAUUUAUUUGNCGUC